rnacentral:rRNA from 1 species
UGGGGAAUCUUGCGCAAUGGGCGAAAGCCUGACGCAGCGACGCCGCGUGAGGGAAGAAGGCCUUCGGGUUGUAAACCUCUUUCAGGAGGGACGAAGCCACUCGGGUGAAUAGCCCAGAGGGUGACGGUACCUCCAGAAGAAGCCCCGGCUAACUACGUGCCAGCAGCCGCGGUAAUACGUAGGGGGCAAGCGUUGUCCGGAUUUAUUGGGCGUAAAGAGCGUGUAGGCGGCCUGGAAGGUCAGCUGUGAAAACUCGAGGCUCAACCUCGAGACGUCGGUUGAAACCACCUGGCUAGAGUCCGGAAGAGGAGUGUGGAAUUCCCGGUGUAGCGGUGAAAUGCGCAGAUAUCGGGAAGAACACCCGUGGCGAAGGCGGCACUCUGGGACGGUACUGACGCUGAGACGCGAAAGCGUGGGGAGCGAACAGG